GCGCGAGUGGUGAAAUGGCAGACACGCUAGAUUUAGGCUCUAGUGCCUUCGGGUGUAAGGGUUCAAGUCCCUUCUUGCGCACCA
rnacentral:tRNA from 14 species